GUGCUCAUGUUGGUAGCACAUAUACUAAAAUUGGAAUGAUGCAGAGAAGAGUAGCGUGGCCCCUGCGCAAGGAUGACAUGCACAUUUGUGAAGUGUACUGUUUU
ensembl:snRNA U6 U6 spliceosomal RNA